rnacentral:sRNA from 2 species
GCCUGCGCCAACCCCUACUACUUCUGCGGAGCCAGAAGCAGCGCCAGGGUGGAACACCGAGAAUCCUAGCAUUGGCUGGUAGACGUGUCUUUCGUUUCCGAGCGAUCUAUAUCCACAUCGGGCCACGGCAUUGAAGGAUAACGCAUCCCCACGAUCUUGAGAUAGAUAAUUAGCUGACAACACCCUCUCAACCCACACCCCCUUUUUUUGUUUUCUCAAAAGGUGAGGAAAUAUUGGGGGAAUUUUUUGGAGGUUUAUUGAAGGGAGUACGGGAGGUAUGGUUGAGACGAUUUGCCUUUGAUUUUACGUCGUCUUUCUGUUCUAAUUUGGAUGGUUGCAACACUGCUGCAACACAACUCACAGGCCGAUUGAAUGAGGGGUUCGUUUCCUUCAUGAGUGGACUGGCAAUGGGAGUUUUUUGUCUUUCUCUUUGUUUGUGUUCACAAUUGCGCCUCGCCCAUAGGGAAUCUUCUUAUGAGAGAGGUAGUGUAGCUACUUAUGUAGAUUAGACUAGGUAGUUAUAUCAAACGGCG